GUGAAUCAUCGAAUCUUUGAACGCACCUUGCGCUCCUUGGUAUUCCGAGGAGCAUGCCUGUUUGAGUGUCAAUUAAUAUAUCAACCUUCUCUUGUUGAGUGGUUGGAAGGGGGGGGUUUGCUGGCCUUUUGAAAGGUUUUUAGCUCUCCUGAAAUGCAUUAGCAGAACAACCCUGUUCAUUGGUGUGAUAACUAUCGACGCUAUUGAAUGUAAAGGGCAGUUUGGCUUUCUAACUGUCUUUGGACAAUUCAUCAUUAAUGUGACCUCAAAUCAGGUAGGACUACCCGCUGAACUUAAGCAUAUCAAUAAGCGGAGG
rnacentral:rRNA from 1 species